UCUGGGCUGGUGUAAAUGGUAGCAUUUGCGUUGCUUGUCUGGGACCUCUUAGGGGGUUCUUCGAGAAGACAAGAGACUCAGCGCAAGGUACGGGUUCGAAUCUCGUGUCGAGAA
rnacentral:tRNA from 1 species